AGAGUUUGAUCCUGGCUCAGGAUGAACGCUAGCGACAGGCUUAACACAUGCAAGUCGAGGGGCAGCGGGGGCGUAGCAAUAUGCCUGCCGGCGACCGGCGCACGGGUGAGUAACACGUAUGUAACCUGCCCUAUGCAGGGGGAUAACCCGGAGAAAUCCGGCCUAAUACCGCGUAACACCUUAGGGGAGCAUUCUCUUGAGGUUAAAGGAGAGAUCCGGCAUAGGAUGGACAUGCGUCGCAUUAGGUAGACGGCGGGGUAACGGCCCACCGUGCCGACGAUGCGUAGGGGUUCUGAGAGGAAGGCCCCCCACACUGGUACUGAGACACGGACCAGACUCCUACGGGAGGCAGCAGUGAGGAAUAUUGGUCAAUGGCCGAGAGGCUGAACCAGCCAAGUCGCGUGAGGGAAGAAUGUCCUAAGGAUUGUAAACCUCUUUUGUCGGGGAGCAAAAAGGCUCUGCGGAGUCGUAUUGAGAGUACCCGAAGAAAAAGCAUCGGCUAACUCCGUGCCAGCAGCCGCGGUAAUACGGAGGAUGCGAGCGUUAUCCGGAUUUAUUGGGUUUAAAGGGUGCGCAGGCGGCGUGUCAAGCAAGCGGUAAAAUAGCGGGGCUCAACCCCGUCGAGCCGUUUGAACUGGCGCGCUUGAGUUCAGGCGAGGUAGGCGGAAUUCGUGGUGUAGCGGUGAAAUGCAUAGAUAUCACGAAGAACUCCGAUUGCGAAGGCAGCUUACCAGUCUGCGACUGACGCUCAGGCACGAAAGUGUGGGUAUCGAACAGGAUUAGAUACCCUGGUAGUCCACACAGUAAACGAUGAGCGUAUAGGUGUCGCGGGUCGCACGAGACGCGGGUGCACGAGUGAAAGCCAAAAAAUCUGCACAAGGGGAGCAUCCUGGGAACGGUGAAAGUCAAAGGAAUGGAGGGGGGCGAGCACAAGUGGAGGAACACUGUGGAAUAAGUCGAUGAAGAGCGAGGAACCUUCCCGAGGGAUCAAAGGAAUCAAUCAAUAUAUCAAUAUUACGUAGCCAGCAAGGGUGGAUGUAGCGUGUGGGCCAUGGAUGUAAUAAUGCUCGUGCCGGCAGGCGUUAGGAAUAGGGUCAGAGUGAGAGCAACACCGCGGGGGACUUUCCUAUGGGAAAACCCGGGAAUUGUGGGGGGGGUGGGGGGGCAACCCGCGGUGAAGGUGAGGAGGAGCAAAUACAUGCUAGGCCGGAUCUUUCGGGGAGCCACA
rnacentral:rRNA from 1 species